GGUUGAUCCUGCCAGUAGUCAUAUGCUUGUCCCUAAGAUUAAGCCAUGCAUGUGUUAGUACAGCCAUUACAAUCAUGGCAAAACUGCGAAUGGCUCAUUACAUCAGUUAUAAUUUACAUAUCUCAAUCACUAUCAUACAUGGAUAUCCGUGGUAAUUCUAGAGCUAAUACAUGCACCAACAAUAACAGUAUUUAUUAGAUCUGAUGAUUCAUGAUAAUCUCUUUAGACUAUUUUCACAUAACGACAAUAGCAUCUUAUUCAAAUUUCUGUCCUAUUAACUAGAUGGUACAAUA
rnacentral:rRNA from 1 species